UACAGAGGGUGCAAGCGUUAAUCGGAAUUACUGGGCGUAAAGCGUGCGUAGACGGUUACAUAAGUCGGGUGUGAAAGCCCCGGGCUCAACCUGGGAAUUGCAUUCGAGACUGCGUAGCUAGGGUGCGGAAGAGGGAAGCGGAAUUUCCGGUGUAGCGGUGAAAUGCGUAGAUAUGUGGAGGAACACCGAUGGCGAAGGCAGCCCCCUGGGUCAAAACUGACGCUCAUGCACGAAAGCGUGGGGAGCAAACAGGG
rnacentral:rRNA from 1 species